rnacentral:lncRNA from 1 species
UCCAAGCACGACUGGUAUAAGGCUUCGCCGUUUGAGAACCCCUUCUUUCACCUUGGUGAAAGGAGGCAAAGUAAGGCUUCGCCGUUUGAGAACCCCUUCUCCAGUGUUUCGGGAAGCUGUUCCACCGGUUGAGUGAGAGUCGAGGUGGGGAAGAUCGGUUAUUCCUUCAUCCCAGAAUGCAUCUAAGAUUGUCUUCUUGGAGGAAGGUUGGUUUGCCCAGGUGACUGAUCCUGCCAUAAUGUACUCCUACCUAUUCUAUUGCACCGGCAACCGAAGUCGA